rnacentral:rRNA from 1 species
GUCUACGGCCAUGCCACCCUGAACAAGCCCGAUCCCAUCUGAUCUCGGAAGCUAAGCAGGGCCGGGCCUGGUUAGUACUUGGAUGGGAGACCACCUAGGAAGCCCAGGUGCUGUGGGCA